UCGUUUGGCAGUCGACAUCAGUGGCUCACUGUUGGUGGCUGACAAGGUGCACUUCAUUAAAGCAGCCCCUCGCCGUUUCAACACCGAGGAACUGCUUUUUUCU
rfam:Lactobacillus paucivorans strain DSM 22467 NODE_417, whole genome shotgun sequence.